rnacentral:rRNA from 1 species
GACGAACGCUGGCGGCGCGCUUAACACAUGCAAGUCGAACGGAAAGGCCUGCUUUCCCUUGUGGAUUGCGGGUACUCGAGUGGCGAACGGGUGAGUAACACGUGAGUGAUCUGCCCCCAACUUGGGUAUAAGCCUGGGAAACUGGGUCUAAUUCCCGGUAGGACUGCAGGGUGGUGCCUGUGGUGGAAAACGAUUUUCUAGUGGUUGGGGAUGAGCUCGCGGCCUAUCAGCUUGUUGGUGGGGUAAUGGCCUACCAAGGCGGCGACGGGUAGCCGGCCUGAGAGGGUGGACGGCCACAUUGGGACUGAGAUACGGCCCAGACUCCUACGGGAGGCAGCAGUGGGGAAUAUUGCACAAUGGGCGGAAGCCUGAUGCAGCGACGCCGCGUGGGGGAUGACGGCCUUCGGGUUGUAAACUCCUUUCGACCGCGAGGAAGCCACCUGGUUGGAAGGGUGGUGACGGUAGUGGUAGAAGAAGCACCGGCUAACUACGUG